UCGAGGAUCUUCGGCAAUGGGCGCAAGCCUGACCGAGCGACGCCGCGUGGACGAUGAAGGCCUUCGGGUUGUAAAGUCCUUUCGGGGGCGAGAAAGGGAAACUUGAUCGAGCCCCAGAAGAAGCACGGGCUAAGUUCGUGCCAGCAGCCGCGGUAAGACGAACCGUGCGAACGUUGUUCGGAAUCACUGGGCUUAAAGGGCGCGUAGGCGGCCGCGAACGUCCGGGGUGAAAGCCCCCAGCUCAACUGGGGAAGUGCCCCGGAUACGGCGCGGCUCGAGUGGGGUAGGGGCGUGUGGAACUUCCGGUGGAGCGGUGAAAUGCGUAGAUAUCGGAAGGAACGCCGGUGGCGAAAGCGGCACGCUGGACCCCUUCUGACGCUGAGGCGCGAAAGCCAGGGGAGCAAACGG
rnacentral:rRNA from 1 species